AGAGUUUGAUCCUGGCUCAGAUUGAACGCUAGCGGGAUGCUUUACACAUGCAAGUCGAACGGCAGCACGAGAGAGCUUGCUCUCUUGGUGGCGAGUGGCGGACGGGUGAGUAAUAUAUCGGAACGUGCCCAGUAGCGGGGGAUAACUACUCGAAAGAGUGGCUAAUACCGCAUACGCCCUACGGGGGAAAGGGGGGGAUCGCAGGACCUCUCACUAUUGGAGCGGCCGAUAUCGGAUUAGCUAGUUGGUGGGGUAAAGGCUCACCAAGGCAACGAUCCGUAGCUGGUUUGAGAGGACGACCAGCCACACUGGGACUGAGACACGGCCCAGACUCCUACGGGAGGCAGCAGUGGGGAAUUUUGGACAAUGGGGGAAACCCUGAUCCAGCCAUCCCGCGUGUAUGAUGAAGGCCUUCGGGUUGUAAAGUACUUUUGGCAGAGAAGAAAAGGCAUCCCCUAAUACGGGAUGCUGCUGACGGUAUCUGCAGAAUAAGCACCGGCUAACUACGUGCCAGCAGCCGCGGUAAUACGUAGGGUGCAAGCGUUAAUCGGAAUUACUGGGCGUAAAGCGUGUGUAGGCGGUUCGGAAAGAAAGAUGUGAAAUCCCAGGGCUCAACCUUGGAACUGCAUUUUUAACUGCCGAGCUAGAGUAUGUCAGAGGGGGGUAGAAUUCCACGUGUAGCAGCGAAAUGCGUAGAUAUGUGGAGGAAUACCGAUGGCGAAGGCAGCCCCCUGGGAUAAUACUGACGCUCAGACACGAAAGCGUGGGGAGCAAAAAGGAUUAGAUCCUUGGGUAGUCCUCGCCCUAAACGAGGUCAACUAGCUGUUGGGGCCGUUAGGCCUUAGUAGCGCAGCUAACGCGUGAAGUUGACCGCCUGGGGAGUACGGUCGCAAGAUUAAAACUCAAAGGAAUUGACGGGGACCCGCACAAGCGGUGGAUGAUGUGGAUUAAUUCGAUGCAACGCGAAAAACCUUACCUACCCUUGACAUGUCUGGAAUGCCGAAGAGAUUUGGCAGUGCUCGCAAGAGAACCGGAACACAGGUGCUGCAUGGCUGUCGUCAGCUCGUGUCGUGAGAUGUUGGGUUAAGUCCCGCAACGAGCGCAACCCUUGUCAUUAGUUGCUACGCAAGAGCACUCUAAUGAGACUGCCGGUGACAAACCGGAGGAAGGUGGGGAUGACGUCAAGUCCUCAUGGCCCUUAUGGGUAGGGCUUCACACGUCAUACAAUGGUCGGGACAGAGGGUCGCCAACCCGCGAGGGGGAGCCAAUCUCAGAAACCCGAUCGUAGUCCGGAUCGCAGUCUGCAACUCGACUGCGUGAAGUCGGAAUCGCUAGUAAUCGCGGAUCAGAAUGUCGCGGUGAAUACGUUCCCGGGUCUUGCACACACCGCCCGUCA
rnacentral:rRNA from 1 species